UAACACGUAGGAUUCGAACGUUAUCCGGAUUUAUUGGGCGUAAAGCGCGUGCAGGCGGUUUGGUAAGUUGGAUGUGAAAUCUCCGGGCUCAACUCGGAGAGGUCGUUCAAAACUACCAGACUAGAGGGCGAUAGAGGGAGGUGGAAUUCCGGGUGUAGUGGUGAAAUGCGUAGAUAUCCGGAGGAACACCAGUGGCGAAGGCGGCCUCCUGGGUCGCUCCUGACGCUAAGACGCGAAAGCUAGGGUAGCAAACGGGAUUAGAAACCCCGGUAGUCCUAGCCGUAAACGAUGUAGACUUGGUGUCGGUGGUGUAAAAGCCAUCGGUGCCGUAGCUAACGCGAUAAGUCUACCGCCUGGGGAUUACGGUCGCAAGACUA
rnacentral:rRNA from 1 species